rnacentral:rRNA from 1 species
AUUGAACGCUGGCGGCAUGCUUUACACAUGCAAGUCGGACGAGUGGCGAACGGGUGAGUAAUAUAUUGGAACGUACCGAGUAAUGGGGGAUAACCAAUCGAAAGAUUGGCUAAUACCGCAUAUUAUGCGAGCGGCCAAUAUCUGGUUAGAUAGUGGGUGGGGUAAAGGCGUACCAAGGCGACGAUCAGUAGCGGGUCUGAGAGGAGGACCGGCCACACUGGGACUGAGACACGGCCCAGACUCCUCCGGGAGGCAGCAGUGGGGAAUUUUGGACAAUGGGCGCAAGCCUGAACCACCCAUGCCGCGUGUUUGAAGAAGGCCUUCGGGUUGUAAAGGACUUUUGUUAGGGAAGCGGUACCUAAAGAAUAAGCACCGGCUAACUACGUGCCAGCAGCCGCGGUAAUAC